UUGGGGAUAUUGCACAAUGGGGGGAAACCCUGAUGCAGCAAUGCCGCGUGAGGGAAGACGGUCUUCGGAUUGUAAACCUAAGUUGUCAGGGACGAAAGAAAUGACGGUACCUGAAGAGAAAGCUCCGGCUAACUACGUGCCAGCAGCCGCGGUAAUACGUAGGGAGCGAGCGUUGUCCGGAUUUACUGGGUGUAAAGGGUGCGUAGGCGGGAUGGCAAGUCAGAUGUGAAAAUACCGGGGCUUAACUCCGGGGCUGCAUUUGAAACUGUCGUUCUUGAGUGGAGUAGAGGCAGGCGGAAUUCCGAGUGUAGCGGUGAAAUGCGUAGAUAUUCGGAGGAACACCAGCGGCGAAGGCGGCCUGCUGGACAUUAACUGACGCUGAGGAGCGAAAGCGUGGGGAGC
rnacentral:rRNA from 1 species